rnacentral:rRNA from 1 species
CUACGGGGUGCAGCAGUGGGGAAUAUUGGACAAUGGGGGAAACCCUGAUCCAGCAAUGCCGCGUGUGUGAAGAAGGCCUGCGGGUUGUAAAGCACUUUCGGUUGGGAGGACUGCUUCUAGCACUAAUAUUGUUGGAAGUUGACGUUACCUUCAGAAGAAGCACCGGCUAACUCCGUGCCAGCAGCCGCGGUAAUACGGAGGGUGCAUGCGUUAAUCGGAAUUACUGGGCGUAAAGCGCGCGUAGGCGGCUAGAUCAGUCGGGUGUGAAAGCCCCGGGCUUAACCUGGGAACUGCAUCCGAUACUGUCUAGCUUGAGUACAGGAGAGGAGAGUGGAAUUCCACAUGUAGCGGUGAAAUGCGUAGAUAUGUGGAGGAACACCAAUGGCGAAGGCAGCUCUCUGGCCUGAUACUGACGCUGAGGUGCGAAAGCGUGGGGAGCAGACAGGAUUAGAUACCCUGGUAGUC